UGGAAAGAGAAGAAGGGAAGUCAUUGAUAUUUUAAGGAUGUAAAAAUGAGUAUUUUAAAUUGUAAAAUAGAAAAAUUAAUUUAAAAAUGUGUGUGUGUGUGUGUGUGUGUGUGUGUGUGUGUGUAUCAUAUAUCUUACAGAAACCGCAGUCUGCACUUUCCCUCAUUCCAA